AACGAACGCUGGCGGCAUGCCUAACACAUGCAAGUCGAACGAACCCUUCGGGGUUAGUGGCGCACGGGUGCGUAACGCGUGGGAAUCUGCCCUUUGCUUCGGAAUAACAGUUAGAAAUGACUGCUAAUACCGGAUGAUGUCUUCGGACCAAAGAUUUAUCGGCAAGGGAUGUGCCCGCGUAGGAUUAGGUAGUUGGUGGGGUAAAGGCCUACCAAGCCGACGAUCCUUAGCUGGUCUGAGAGGAUGAUCAGCCACACUGGGACUGAAACACGGCACAGACUACUACGGGAGGCAGCAGUGGGGAAUAUUGGACAAUGGGCGAAAGCCUGAUCCAGCAAUGCCGCGUGAGUGAAGAAGGCCUUCGGGUUGUAAAGCUCUUUUACCCGGGAAGAUAAUGACUGUACCGGGAGAAUAAGCCCCGGCUAACUCCGUGCCAGCCGCCGCAGUAAAAC
rnacentral:rRNA from 1 species